rnacentral:lncRNA from 1 species
GUGUCCUCUUCACAGUAGUUUGGAGCUCUUUUUGCCAGGGAUUUGAGGGCUGCUUUUUUAAGUGCCCAUCUGUCUUUGGACCAACUGGAUAUUAACAUUGGCGCGUAUUUUUAAUAUAUUGAUGAUAUUUUUACAAUAUGGCAAAACACAAACCAAGUAGAAGACCUCUGCAAAAUGUUCACACUUCCGAAUUACGGCCUCUCCUUAAAAUUGGACCAAAAAGAUAACCAACGUAUCCACUUCCUAGAACUCCAGUUAGAAGUAAAAAACCAUAAAUUUAUAACAGAUGUCUAUAGAAAACCUGCCUAUGUGCCAAUAUUAAUACCCAGUUGGUCUAAGGACAGAUGGACAUUUAAAAAAGCAGCCUUUAAAUCUUUGGUAAAAAGAGCUCUAACUACUGUGAAGAGGAUGCAACCUUAAAAAGAAAAAUAGGAAACAUUAGAAAGAUAGCAACAAAACACGGCUAUAGAAAGAGCAUGAUAGACAAAAUAAUGGAAGAAAUCAUAGAAAAAAGACAGAGCAAUCAAAAUCAAACGAUGACCGUAAACCCCUCGACCACAGACCUGCGGAAUGAUGCCCAGGAGCAAAAAUAUUUAGUAGUAGAUCUUGCUUUAGCCAGUUAAAAACAGUUAAGCAUAUUUUAAAGAAGGGUAAACGAAGGCCAGCAUAUAAAAGACCCCCAACAAUCUUUGACCACCUAAGAAACGUGAAAGAAAUGUUUUUUGACCACCUAAGAAACGUGUAAGUAUAA